AGAAGGAAUAGCCUCAAUUUUGUAAUCUGGCUCUUUCGAGUCCCAGUUUGAUUUUGAGAACUGUGCUAGCUGGACCAUGUAUAAUCUGUUGAAAAGCAGAUCCUAGAAGUGAUAAUCCUGUUCAUGAUAUGGACUACCGUGCAAUAUGAUACCCUCUCUAAAAGUCAAGUUGUUGGGGAAUGCUCAGUGGGUGGUAUUCCAUCUAAGGCUAUAUAUUGAUGAAGACCGAUAGCACAAGUACCGUGGGGAAAGAUGAAAGAACUUUGAAAAGAGAGUUAACAGUACGUGAAAUUGUUAAAAGGGAAACAAUGAACUUUGUUAUUAUUGUUUCAACCUUUUUUUGGGAUAUUACUUGAUUAACACACGCCCAUCUCUUUUGGGGUGUUGGAGAAGGGUUUAAGGAAAUGUACUCCUCUCUGAUGUUAUUAUAUCCUGAU
rnacentral:rRNA from 1 species